rnacentral:lncRNA from 1 species
CACGUUGCCCUUGUUUUCCUCCAGGGUCAUGUCACGCCCUUUUGGGGAGCUGAAGGCAAAUCCUUCUUAGCAAACACCUCCUGCCCUUGUGCUAACGCGCCCUGUGGUGUCUCCUCAGGACCCYUGUGAACCAGACGGCCCCCAUYCCGGGCACCUCCCCGGGGAAGCAGGUUGGCGUGCAAYACCUCCCGCACCCUCCCGCCGGACCUCGGCGUGGCCGUGCCGGCGCCACUCCCAGGGGUGCAGCACAGGUGCGUGAUGGGGCUCUGGGUAAUCCUGGCAUCUCACCCACUCGUAGGAAAGCCCYGGCCUAUGAGACUCCCUCCGGAAAGGGCCCUCAGCACGUAGCCACUGGAGCCGUCGGUGGCCUCUUUGCGUGCUACUUUUGGGCGUAGUUAGGCACUGCUUGUACAACAGCUUUUUCAGCCUGCCUUCUGCCGAAAAUCCCGCAAAAGAGUGACGGUGGCGAGGCUCAAGACAAGGGGYGGGAGAGCGGGUGGAAAGCCAGCGCCAACACGCCCCUGCCCAGAAUCCCUGCCCAGACAGACAAGACUAAUACUCUUGCCUUUCCGCGGCCCCGCAGGAUGCAGCCUGCCCUCCCACGCAGAGGUUUGGAAGAGCUGCCCACGUCUCCCUCUUGAAAGAGGAGCAGAGGCAGCACCAAGCAUCGUGGGAGGAACAGCAGGCCGCACUGGAGAAAGAGGCCYGGCGUCAGGCCCAGGCAAGCGUCCGCRCAAGCAAAGCAGAAYRUGCAGCUUCUGACUUCCUACAAAGUUCUUCGGGACAGGUGGAAGGAAAGGGUGGAACGAAACCAACGGAGGCUGAUGGUGGAGGAGGAGUGGCGCCGCRCUUUGGUGAUGCGCCACCUCCAGAAGAGAGAGCAGCAGGACCGUGUGCCGGGCAGUUACCACCAAGAUGGCUUUUAUGCGUGGAAAUAAAGGGCCUUUCCGAGCUGCUGUGAGCCUUUCYUUGGUGGGCUGUGAAAGUGCAAGGGGCAGCAGGGCAGCUCCAGAGGGGAYGGAAAGGGUCAGGCRGGAGCCAGGAGAGUGGGGCAGYCCCUCUGCCGGGCAGCUCUCACCCCGGCCAUGCCCUAGCAGGUGACUUGGGGACUGCCACGCCAGAGAGGAGGCGAGGGAAAGGUUUUGGGGGGACAGUGUGUGUGUGACUCAGCUGCCUGAAUCCUGCCAAGCUCUUCCAGGGGCUCCAAGUCUUUGGCUCACCAUGUCCCRGUCCAAAACACUGGCAUCUCUGCUGCUGUAGCCACUGCUUGGCAUGGACUGCAGCCCACUUCAGCCAGCACAAACACUGAACAGACCCAGAGGGUGGCUAAACCUCAGGGAUGGCACCUCCAGGGUCAAAAGAUGAUGUGUGAAUAUGAGGAGGGUUUGAGGGC